AAAACAUCUUUUCUUGUUAGUUUUUGAAGUAUGGCCUGCCCGCUGACUUGAGUGUUGAAGGGCCGCGGUAUUUUGACCGUGCAAAGGUAGCAUAAUCAUUAGUUCUUUAAUUGUGAUCUGGAAUGAAUGGCUUGACGAGGCACUGGCUGUCUUAGUGAUGAAUGUUUUAUUGAAUUUGGUCUUUGAGUUAAAAUUCUUAGAUGUUUUUAUGGGACGAGAAGACCCUAUAGAGUUUAACACUUGGCUUAUUUAUUUUAUGUUGUUUGUUUUGUUUUUGGUAAGUGGGCUUUUUGUUUUGUUGGGGUGAUGAGAGGAAUAUAAUUUAACUCCUCUUGGUUUUAGGUUGUAUUGAUUUAUAGUUGUUUGAUCCAUUUAUUUUGAUUGCAAGAUUAAAUUACCUUAGGGAUAACAGCGU
rnacentral:rRNA from 1 species